UAUGUGAUCGUCUCUCGCAUAUCAAUAAGCGGAGGAAAAGAAACUAACAAGGAUUCCCCUAGUAACGGCGAGUGAAGCGGGAAGAGCUCAAAUUUGAAAUCUUAAAGGGUUUCCCUUUACGAAUUGUAGUUUAAAGAAGUGUUUUCUGUUGAGGUUUUGGUAAAAGUUCUUUGGAAUAGGACAUCAUAGAGGGUGAGAAUCCCGUAUUUGACCUUUACUUUCAACUUUGUGAUACACUUUCAAAGAGUCGGAUUGUUUGGGAAUGCAGUCCAAAAUGGGUGGUAAAUUUCAUCUAAAGCUAAAUAUUGGCGAGAGACCGAUAGCGAACAAGUACCGUGAGGGAAAGAUGAAAAGAACUUUGAAAAGAGAGUUAAACAGUACGUGAAAUUGUCAAAAGGGAAGCGUUUGACACCAGUGUUGUUUUUCUGAAAAUCAAUUAAAGAACUGUUUAUGCUAAGUUGUUUAGACUUUAUCAGCUAACUGUUUAGUUUUGAGCUUUUCUUUAAUGCACUUUUCAGUUAACAAGUCAACAUCAAUUUCUUUUGCUGUAAAAAAGCUUGAGGAAGGUGGCUUGAGAUUCGUCUUAAGUGUUUAUAGCCUCUUGCCUAUGCAGUCGGAGAGAUUGAGGUCUGCAGCGUAGAUCCUUCGGGGCUAAAUGCAUUUGUGCUAAGUUAUAACAUUUUAUAGACAACUUGUUGACUAUGAUUUGUCUUGUAGCUUACUCGCUUAUGUUAUUUUACCUACGCUUAGGAUGUUGAAUCUGUGCGAGACUAC
rnacentral:rRNA from 1 species